rnacentral:rRNA from 1 species
UGGGGAAUAUUGGACAAUGGGGGCAACCCUGAUCCAGCAAUGCCGCGUGUGUGAAGAAGGUUUUCGGAUUGUAAAGCACUUUUCGACGGGGACGAUGAUGACGGUACCCGUAGAAGAAGCCCCGGCUAACUUCGUGCCAGCAGCCGCGGUAAUACGAAGGGGGCUAGCGUUGCUCGGAAUGACUGGGCGUAAAGGGCGUGUAGGCGGUUUGUACAGUCAGAUGUGAAAUCCCCGG